rnacentral:rRNA from 1 species
UACGGAGGGUGCAAGCGUUAUCCGGAUUCACUGGGUUUAAAGGGUCCGUAGGCGGAUCUGUAAGUCAGUGGUGAAAUCUCACAGCUUAACUGUGAAACUGCCAUUGAUACUGCAGGUCUUGAGUGUUAUUGAAGUAGCUGGAAUAAGUAGUGUAGCGGUGAAAUGCAUAGAUAUUACUUAGAACACCAAUUGCGAAGGCAGGUUACUAAGCAACAACUGACGCUGAUGGACGAAAGCGUGGGGAGCGAACAGG